rnacentral:rRNA from 1 species
GAACGCUAGCGGCAGGCUUAACACAUGCAAGUCGAGGGGUAUAUUUCUUCGGAGAUAGAGACCGGCGCACGGGUGCGUAACGCGUAUGCAAUCUACCUUUUACAGGGGAAUAGCCCAGAGAAAUUUGGAUUAAUGCCCCAUAGUAUAUAUGAAUCGCAUGGUUUAUAUAUUAAAGUCACAACGGUAAAAGAUGAGCAUGCGUCCCAUUAGUUAGUUGGUAAGGUAACGGCUUACCAAGACUAUGAUGGGUAGGGGUCCUGAGAGGGAGAUCCCCCACACUGGUACUGAGACACGGACCAGACUCCUACGGGAGGCAGCAGUGAGGAAUAUUGGACAAUGGGCGCAAGCCUGAUCCAGCCAUGCCGCGUGCAGGAAGAAGCA